GCUCAGCUGCAGGUAAUCAGCUGUUGCAGUGGGAAUAAACUCCUCCCGGCUAGGCAGGAAAAGGAGAGGGAUUGCUGGCUUCCUCCCAGGAAGCAGGUAGGAGAGAAAGGCUGUUCUCUCCAGAUAGUCAAGGUGACUAGGCACUUGGAGUGCAGAAAGGAAAGCAGUCAGGGCAAGACUGGCUUGGAGCACUGGGAGUGCAGAAAGGAAGCAGUCAG
rnacentral:lncRNA from 1 species